GUUAAAGUUCUUAUUUCAUGGUAUAACUUUGGUAUGCUUGGACCUAGAGUCUUCAAACUUGACAUGAAGGUUGGCCAGGAUUAACAGAUGACCACUGGUCAUUUCAAGGUCAUUCAUUUGAAGGUGAAGGUCACUGUGACCUUCAAUAUAAAAAUGUUAAAGUUGUUAUAACUUUGGUAUGCUUGGACCUAGAGUCUUGAAACUUGACAUGAAGGUUGGCCAGAACUAGUAAGUAACCACUGGACAUUUCAAGGUCAUUCAUUUGAAGGUCAAGGUCACUGUGACCUUGAAUGUAAAAAUGUUAAAGUUGUUAUAACUUUGGUAUGCUUGGACCUAGUCUUGAAACUUGACAUGAAGGUUGGCCAGAACUAGUAAGUAACCACUGGACAUUUCAAGGUCAUUCAUUUGAAGGUCAAGGUCACUGUGACCUUGAAUGUAAAAAUGUUAAAGUUCUUAUUUCAUGUUAUAACUUUGGUAUGCUUGUACCUAGAGUCUUCAAACUUGACAUAAAGGUUGGCCAGUACUAGAAGAUCACCACUGCUCAUUUCAAUGUCAUUCAUUUGAAGGUCAAGGUCACUGUGACCUUCAAUGUUAAAAUGUUAAAAUUGUUAUAACUUUGGUACGCUUGGACCUAGAAUCUCAAACUUGACGUAAAGGUUUGCAAGCACACUUAGAUGACCACUGGUCAUUUCAAGGUCAUUCAUUUCAAUGUCAUUCAUUUGAAGGUCAAGGUCACUGUGAACUUAAAUGUUAAAAUGUUAAAAUUGUUGUAACUUUGGUAUGCUUGGACCUAGAAUCUCAAACUUGACGUAAAGGUUUGCAAGCACACUUAGAUGACCACUGGUCAUUUCAAGGUCAUUCAUUUGAAGGUCGAGGUCACUGUGACCUUGGAUGUAAAUAUGUUAAAGUUGUUAAUACUUUGGUAUGCUUAGACCUAGAGUCUUCAAACUUGAUAUGAAGGUUGGCCAGAACUAGUAGAUGACCACUGGUCAUUUUAAGGUCAAGGUCACCGUGACCUUGAAUGUAAAAAUGUUAAAA